rnacentral:tRNA from 1 species
CGGGAAAUCAACGCUGUUUGGACGGUUUUGGGUACCGUAGGCCGGAGGUUCGAAUCCUCUCGCCCCGACCA